ACAGAAACGCCGCUUGGCCUUUGGACUACACCAUCUGUCGCUCGCUCUAACGAGCCGGCGUUGCCGCCAGGGGACGCUCGGGCCGCAGGAGGUCGCUGGGUCGUGAGCUGGCGCCGGGGACGCCGAGCGACUGCGGGGUUUCCCUCAGCGUCCUGCUAUCCGGCUGCCCGCCGCGCUCCUUGGUAGUGUCCGUGGGCGCGCAGGCCUUGAAGAACCUCCUCGUGGCGGGACCCCGAGCGCAGGAGAGGUGUCAAAGAGCUGGCGCGUCUCCAGAGCCCCGGGAGGAAGGCUGUAACGGCAGCCCCAUCGUAGACAGGGACAUUCGCAUCCCGAGCCCUGGAUCUCUGAAAACCAGCCCAGAAUUUGGAAGCUGGAAGGAACUUUAGAUCGUCCAUUCUGAGUGUCUCUCUUCGCUGGCGUUUUCCCACUGAGGUUAUGUAAACAUGAAGAGGAGCCUACAAGUGUCAAGGAAAAAACGACAGCUAACCACAGGGCAGGCCAUGGGCAAGAUAUCUCAGUGUUCUCCGCUCUCAUAGGUCAGAGUGAGACUCACCUAGGCUGGACUGCAAUGGUGCAAUCUCGGCUCACUGCAACCUCCGCCUCUCAUGUUCAAGCCAUUCUCCUGCCUCAGCUUUCCGAAUCGCUGGGAUUACAGGUGCGCACCACCAUGCAUGGCUAAUGCUUGUAUUUUAGUAGAGACGGGGUUUUGCUAUGUUGGCCAGGCUGGUCUCAAACUCCUGACUUCAGGUGAUCCACCCACCUCAGCCUCCCAAAGUGCUGGGAUUACAGGUGUGAGCCACUGCCCCCGGCUGAUAUACUCAUUUUAUAGAUGAGAAAACUGAGGCACAAAGAGACUAAGUUACUUUACAGCAUUGGGGUUGAAGCCCAGGCAGCUGGUGCCAGAGUCAGUUUUCUGACUCUCGCAGCACCUAUACCAUGAUAUCUACCUGUAUGAUUCUAACCUUGUGUAUACCCCUGCCUCCUUCAGAAGUACCCACUAUCAUGAUAAAUUCAUUGUGUUCAACAUUCAAAAAAAAAAUGGGGCGCAGUGGCUCACUCCUGUAAUCCCAACACUUUGGGAGGCCAAGGCAGGUGUAUCACCUGAUGUCAGGAGUUCGAGACCAGCCUGGCCAACAUGGUGAAACCCCCGUCUCUACUAAAAAUACAAAAAUUAGCCGGCAUGGUGGUGGGCACCUGUAAUCUCAGCUACUCGGGAGGCUGAGGCAGGAGGAUCGCUUGAGCCCGCGAGGUGGAGGUUGCGGUGAGCCAAGAUUGCGCCGCUGGACUCCAGUCUGGGCGACAGAGUGAGACCCUGUCUCAAAAGGAAAAGAAAAAAAAGACCUCUAAACAACCCACAAACUGGGAGAAAAUUUUUGCAAAUCACAUGUUCCAUAAGGGACUUGUAUCUAGGAUACAUAAAAUUCUUACAACUCAGUAAUGAAAAGACAAAUAGCCAAGUUUAGAAAUGGGCAAGGGAGACAACACCAAAUGCUGGUGAGGAUGUGAAGCAACAGGAACUCUCCUUACUGGUAGGAACGCAAAAUGGUACAGCAGCUUUGGAAGACAGUUUGGCUUUCUGACAAAACUAAACAUACUCCCAUCAGAAGAUCCAGCCAUUGCAUUCCUUAGUGUUUACCCAAAUGAGCUGAAAACUUAUGUCCACACAGAAACCUGCACAUGGAUGUUUACAGCAGCUUUUGUUUUUGUUUUUGUUUUUGAGAUGGAGUCUCGCUCUGUCACCCAGGGUGGAGUGCAGUGGCGCGAUCUCGGCUCACUGGAAGCUCUGCCUCCUGGGUUCACGCCAUUCUCCUGCCUCAGCCUCCAAGUAGCUGGGACUACAGGCGCCUGCCACGAAGCCCAGCUAAUUUUUUGUAUUUUAAGUAGAGACGGGGUUUCACCAUGUUAGCCAGGAUGGUCUCGAUCUCCUGACCUCGUGAUCUGCCCGCCUUGGCCUCCCAAAGUUCUGGGACUACAGGCGUGAGCCACCGCUCCCGGCCAGCAGCAGCUUUAUUUGUAAUUGCCAAAACUUGAAAGCAACCAAGAUGUCCUUUAGCAGGUAAAUGGAUAAAUAAACCUUGGUAUAUCCAGACAAUGGACUAUAUUCAGCACUAGAAAGAAAUGAGCUAUUAAGCCAUGAAAAGGCAUGGAGAAACCUUAAAUGCAUAUUAGUAAGUGAAAGAAGACAAUCUGAAAGAGCUACAUACUGUAUGAUUCCAACUAUAUUACAUCCUGGAAAAGGCAAAACUAUGGAGACAAUAAAAAAGAUGGCAGGGGCUGGGAGUGGGGAGAAAUGCACAGAGGUGGUGCACAGAGAAUAUUUAGGGUAGUGAAAUUACUCUGGAUGUUAUAAUGGUGGAUACAUGUUAUUACACAUUUGUCAAACCCUACAGGAUGUACAACACCAAGAAUGAAACCUAAUGUAAACUAUGGGAUAUGGGUGAUACUGGUGUGUCAAUGUAGCUUCAUUGCUUAUAACAAAUAUAUCCUCUGGUGCCUGAUGUUGUUGGUGGGGGGAGGCUAUGAGUGUGUGUGGGGUGGGGGAACCCUGUAUUUUCUGUUCAGUUUUGCUGUGAACUCGAAACUGCUCUUAAAGAUGAAAUUUUUAUUUUAAUGGGUAAAGUAUUUGAAUAACCAUUUCUCCAAAGAGGAUAUACGGGUGACCAAUAAGUACAUGAAAAGACAUUCAACAUCAUGAGCCAUUAGGGAAAUAAAAAUCAAAACCCUCGUGAGAUACCAUUUCUCACCCAGUAGAAUGGCUAGAGUGAAAAAGGCAGACACAGCCAGUCACGGUGGCUCACACCUGUAAUCCCAGCAUUUUGAGAGGCCAAGGCCAGUAGAUCACUUGGGUUCAGGAGUUUGAGACCAGCCUGGCCAACGUGGUAAAACCUCCUCUCUACUAAAAAUAGGAAAAUUAGCUGGGCAUGGUAGUGCAUGCCUGUAAUCCCAGCUACUAGGGAGGCUGAGGCAGGAGAAUUGCUUGACCCGGGAGGUGGAGGUUGCAGUGAGCCCAGAUCAUGCCAUUUCACUCCAGCUUGGGUGACAGAGCAAGACUCCAUCUCAAAAAAAAAAAAAAAAAGACAAAAGAUAGUGUUGGCAAGGAUAUAGAGAAAUUAGAACUUUCUAUACUUUGCUGGUGGGAAUGUAAAAUGGUGUAGCCAUUUGGGAAAACAGUCUGGCAGUUUCUUAAACAGUUAAAUAUGGCCAGGAGUGGUGGUACUCACUUGUAAGAGGCCGAGGCAGAAGCAUUGCUUGAGCUUAGGAGUUUGAGACCAGACUAGGCAAAAUAAUGAGACCGUAUUUAAAAAAAAAAAAAAAAGUUAAACGUGGACUUACUAUAUGAUCCAGCAAUUCCAAUCCUAGGUAUUUACCCUGAAGAAAUUUUUUUCCACACAAAGACUUGUAUGCAAAUGUUCAUAGCAGCAUUAUUCACCAUAGCCAAAAACUAAAAACACCCAAAUGGCUAUCUGUUGAUAAGUGGAUAAACAGAAGGUGGUCUGUCACCCAGGCAUGGUGGCUCAUUCCUAUAAUGUCAGGAUUGCUUGAGGCCAGGAGUUUGAGAACAGCUUGGGCAACAUAGUGAGACUGCAUCUGUUGAGGGAAGUCAGGAACCCCGAACGGAGGGACCGGCUGAAGCCGUGGCAGAAGAACAUAAAUUGUGAAGAUUUCACGGACAUUUGUUAGUUCCCCAAAUUAAUACUUUUAUAAUUUCUUACACCUGUCUUUACUGCAGUCUCUGAACAUAAAUUGUGAAGAUUUCAUGGACACUUAUCACUUCCCCAAUCAAUAGCCUUGUGAUUUCCUAUUCCUGUCUUUAAUCUCUUAAUCCCGUCAUCUUCGUAAGCUGAGGAGGAUGUAUGUCGCCUCAGGACCCUGUGAUGAUUGCAUUAACUGCACAAAUUGUUUGUAGAGCAUGUGUGUUUGAAUAAUAUGAAAUCUGGGCACCUUGAAAAAAGAACAGGAUAACAGCAACGUUCAGGGAACAAGAGAGAUAACCUUAAACUCUUGACUGCCAGUGAGCCGGGCGGAACAGAGCCAUAUUUCUCUUCUUUCAAAAGCAAAUGGGAGAAAUAUCGCUGAAUUCUUUUUCUCAGCAAGGAACGCCCCUGAGAAAGAGAAUGCGUCCCUGAGGGUAGGCCUCUGAAAUGGCCACUUGGGGGGUGGCUGUAUUUUACAGUCACAGCUGUAGGGAUGAAAUAAGCCCCAGUCUCCUGUAGCGCUCCCAGGCUUAUUAGGAUGAGGAAAUUCCCACCUAAUAAAUUUUGGUCAGACCGGUUGUCUGCUCUCAAACCCUGUCUCCUGAUAAGAUGUUAUCAGUGACAAUGCAUGCCCAAAACUUCAUUAGCAAUUUUAAUUUCGCCCCGGUCCUGUGGUCCUGUGAACUCGCCCUGCCUUCAUUUACCUUGUGAUAUCUUAUUACCUUGUGAAGCAUGUGAUCUCUGUGACCCACACCCUAUUCGUACACUCUCUUCCCUUUUGAAAUCGAUAAUAAAAACUUGCUGGUUUUAUGGCUCAGGGGGCAUCACGGAACCUGCUGACAUGUGACGUCUCCCCCGGACACCCAGCUUUAAAAUUUAUCUCUUUUGUACUCUGUCCCUUUAUUUCUCAGACCGGCCGACACUUAGGGAAAAUAGAAAAGAACCUACGUGAAAUAUCAGGGGUGAAUUUUGCCCGAUAGCAUCUCUACAAAAAUUUGUUUAAAAUAGCCAAGCAUGGUGGUACGUGUCUAUAGUCCCAGCUACUCGAGGGGCUGAGGUAGGAGGAUUGCUUGAAGCCAGGAGUUCGAGGCUACCAUAAACUAUGAUCCUACCACUGUACUCCAGCCUGGGUGACAAAAAAACAAACCUAAACAAAACACAAAAUAUGGUGAUACGGUUUGGAUAUUUGUCCCUUCCAAAUCUCGUCAAAAUGUCAUCCCCAGUGUUGGAGUUGAAGCCUGGUGGAAGGUGAAUGGAUCAUGGAGGCAGAUCCCUCAUGAACGGCUUAGCACCAUCCCCUUGGUGAUGAGUGAGUUCAUCUGUAAUCUGGUUGUUAAAGGUGUGUGGCAUCUCCCGCUUUGCUCUCUUGUUCCUGCUGUCACCAUGUGACAUCCCUGCUCUCCCUUUUCCUUCUGCUGGGAUUUGAAGCUUCCUGAGGCCCUCACCAGGAGCAGAUGCUGGAGCCAUGCUUGCACAGCCUGCAGAACUGAAUCAAUUAAACCUCUUUUUCCUCUCUCUCUUUUUUUAUUUUUAUUUUUUUUGAUAUGGAGUCUCACUCUGUCACCCAGGCUGGAGUGCGAUGGCACGAUCUCAGCUCACUGUAACCUCCGCCUCCCGGGUUCAAGCGAUUCUCCUGCCUCAGCCUUCCAAGUAGCUGGGAUUAUAGGCGUACGCCACCAUGCCCAGGAGGCAGAGGUUGCAGUGAGCCGAGAUCACACCACUGCACUCCAGCCUGGGUGACAGAGCAAGACUCCGUCUCAGGGAAAAAAAAAAAAAACUACCAAAUUGUUUUCCAGAAUAACUGAAUCAUUUUACAUUCUCAUUGGCAAUUCAUGAGUGAUCUAGUUUCUCCACAUCCUCUUCUACAUUUGGUGUAGCAACUGUUUACAUUUAGCCAUUUGGAAUAAGUGUACAGGGAUAGCCCAUUGUAGUUUUAGUUUGCAUUUCCUUAAUGGCUAGUGAUAUUGAACAUCCUUUCCCAAGUUUAUUUCCAAUGUGUAUAUUCUCUUUACUGAAGUGCUUUUUCAUGUCUUUUGCACAUUUUUAUUUAGAUUAUUUAUUUUUGAGUUUUGGGAGUUCUUUAUAUAUUCUAGAUACUAGUCCUUUAUCAGAUACGUAGUUUGCAAAUAUUUUCUCCCACUCUAUGCCUUUUCAUCCUCUGAACAGGGUCUUUCACAGAGUAAAAGUGCUUAAUUUUGAUGAAAUCUAUUUUAUUAUUUUUCCUGUUAUGGAUUGUGCUUUUAGUGUCAAGACUAAAAAUGCCUUGUGUAGCUCUAGGUCCAGAAGAUUUUCUCCUAAAUGUUUGAUGAUGUACAUUUAAGUCCAUGGUUUGGUUUGGUUUUUGUUUUUUGGUUUUUGUUUUUCUUUGAGACAGUCUUAUUCCCUCACCCAGGCUGGAGUGCAGUGGCAUGAUCUUGGCUUACUGCAACCUCUGCCUCCCAGGUUCAAGCGAUUCUGGUGUCUCAUCCUCCAAAGUAGCUGGAAUUAUAGAUGCGCACCAUCACGCCCAGCUAAUUUUUGUAUUUUUAGUAGAGACAGGGUUUCACCACGUUGGCCAGGCUGGUCUUGAACUCCUGACUUCAAGUGAUCUACCUGCCAUGCUGGAAUUAUAGGCAUGAGCCACUGCACCUUGUUGUAAUUUUUGUAUAUAAUGUAAGAUUUAUUUCAAGGUUCAUUUUCUUGCCUAUGAAUAUCUGAUUACUCCAGAACCAUUUGUUGAAAAGCCAUUUUUCCUCCAUUGAAUUGCAUCAGCACCUUUGUAAAAAACCAACUGGGCACAUAUUAGUUGGUGACAAAUUCUUUUAGUUUUCCUUCCUUUGAGAAUUUUACAAUUUCCCCCAGCAUUCUUGAAGGAUAUUUUCAUUGGAUAUGGGAUUCUGAGUUGAUAGUUUUUUUAACAAUGGAAAAGUGUUGUGUCACUUCUUUCUGGUUUCUGUUGUCUCUGAUGAGAAAUAAGCUGUCAUUCAAAUUAUUUUUUCUAUAUAAGUAACAUAUUGUUUUUCUCUGGCUGCUUUCAAAAAAUUUUUUUGUUUUGUUUUCAGAAGUUUGACUAUAAUGUAUCUUGGUGUGAACUUCUUUGGGUUUAUCCCAAUUGGAAUUCUCUCAGCUUCUUGAAUCUAUUGUUUUAUGCAUUUUGCCAAGUAGGAAAGUUUUCUUUGAAUAUUUGUUCAUUUGAUUAUUUAUUUAUUAAUGUAUUUUUUUGAGACAGGGUCUUGCUCUGUUAUCCAGGCUGGAGUACAGUGGCAGAAUCAUGGCUCACUGCAACCUAGACCUUCCAGGCCGAAGCGUUCCUCCCACUUCAGUCCCCAGAGUAGCUGGGACCACAGGUGUGCACCACCACACUCAAUUUUUUUGUUUUUGAGGCGGAGUCUCGCUCUUUCACCAGGCUGGAGUGCAGUGGCAUGAUCUUGGCUCACUGCAAUGUCUGCCUCCCAGAUUCCAGUGAUUCUCGUGCCUCAACCUCCUGAGUAGCUGGGAUUACAGGUGCCUGCCACCAUGCCUGGCUAAUUUUUGAAUUUUUGGUAGAGACGGGGUUUUACCAAGUUGGCCAGGAUGGUCUCAAUCUCUUGACCUCAUGAUCCGCCUGCCUUGGCCUCCCAAAGUGCUGGGAUUACAGGCGAGAGCCACCACGCCCGGCCCCCUCCUAUGUUGUCCAGGCUGGCCCCAAACUCCUGGGCUCAAGCAAUCCUUCUGCCUCUGUCUACCAAAAUGCUGGGAUUACAGGGAUGAGCUAUCAUGCCCCACUCUGAUCUUUUAUUAACAGUCUCACAGGCCCUGAGGUUGUGUUUAUUAUUUGUUUCUUUUCUUUUCUUCUUUUUUUUUUUUUUUUUUUUUUUUUUUUUGGUUGAGAUGGAGUCUCGCUCUGUCGCCCAGGCUGGAGUACAGUGGCGCGAUCUUGGCUCUGCCUCCCGGGUUCACACCAUUCUCCCGCCUCAGCCUCCCGAGUAGCUGGGACUACAGGUGCCCACCACCAUGCUCGGCUAAUUUCGUUUUUGUAUUUUUAGCAGAGACGGGGUUUCACCGUGUUAGCCAGGGAUGGUCUCGAUCUCCUGACCUCAUGAUCCACCCACCUCAGCCUCCCAAAGUGCUGGGGUUACAGGCAUGAGCCACUGUACCGGCCUCUUUUAUUUUCUCUUUUCUUUCUUGUUUACUUUUUCCAGUCCAUUUUCUCUCUGUUGUUCAGAUUGAGUAAUUUCUGUUGUCCUGUCUUCCAGUUAACUGCUUGUGUUGUCCUCUUUUCCACUUUUGAGCCCAUUCACUGAGCUUUUUAUUUCGUUGUUGUAUUUUCUAUUUCUAAAAUUUCUAUCUGAUUCUUCCUUAUAUCUCCUAUUUCUAUGCUGAGACUCUUUUUUAUUUUUUCAACAUGUUCAUAACUGUAUUUUUUUUUUUUGAGAUGGAGUCUCACUCUGUCGCCCAGGCUGAAGUGCAGUGGCACGAUCUCGGUGCACUGCAACCUCUGCCUCCCAGGUUCAAAAGAUUCUCCUGCCUCAGGCUCCCGGGUAGCUGGAAUUACAGGCAUGCACCACCACACCCAGCUAAUUUUUGUACUUUUUGUAGAGACAGGGUUUAACCACGUUGCCCAGGCUUGUCUCGAACUCCUGGACUCAAGCAACCAACCUGACUUGGCCUCUCAAAGUGCUGGGAUUACAGGCAUGAGCCACUUUGCCCGGCCUGAGUUGCAUUCCUCUAUGAAUUUUAGAAAAAGCAAUCAAUUUCAACAAGAAAAUUGCUGGAAUUUUUAUUGAUUACACUGAAUCUAUAGAUUAAUUUGAGAGGAACUGACAUCUUUAAAAUGUUGAGUCUUCUGAUUCAUGACCAUGGUAUGGCUCUUCAUUGAUUUACAUCGUCUUUAAUUUCUCUCAGCAAUGUUUUGUAGUUAUUAGUGUAUGAUUUUGCAUGUAGCUUUUGUUAUAUUUUUUGUCUAUGUAUUUUAUAUUUUGGAUGCUGUUAUAACUGGUUUUUAAGAAGUUUUAAUUCCCAAUUGUUUAUUCCUAUUAUAUAGCAAUAUAAUUGAUUUUAAUACAGUGAUCUUGCAUCCUUCAGCCUUGUUAAGCUGUAGUUGCUUUUUGGAUGAUCCCACAGGAUUUUACACACAAUCAUGUUAUUUGAAAAUACAGUUUUAUUUCUUUCUUUCCAAUCUGAUUGCCUUUUACUUCUCUUUUUUGACUUGUUCACUGGCUAGAGCUUCUAGCACAAUAUCAUACAGAAGUGAUGAGGGUAGACCGGGUGCGGUGGCUCAUGCAUGUAAUCCCAGCACUUUGGGAGGCCGAGGCAGGCGGAUCACCUGAGGUCAGGAGUUCGAGACCAGCCUGGCCAACAUGGUGAAACCCCAUCUCUACUAAAAAUACAAAAUUUAGCUUGGCGUGAUGGUGCACACCUAUAAUUCCAGCUACUUGGGAGGCUGAGGCAGGAGAAUCGCUUGAACCUGAGAGGCAGAGGUUGCAGUGAGCUGAGAUCAUGCCAUUGCACUCCAGCCUAGGUGACAGAACGAGACUCUGCCUCAAAAAAAAAAGCAAUGAGGGCAGACUUUUUUUGCCUUAAAUUAAGACAUUCCUGGCCAGCUGUGGUGGCUCAUGUCUGUAAUGCCAAUACUUUGGGAGGCCAAGGUGGGUGGAUCACCUGAGAUCAGGAAUUUGAGACCAGCCUGGCCAACAUGGUGAAACCCCGUUUCUACUAGAAAUACAAAAAUUAGCUGGGCGUGGCGGCAGGCACCUGUAAUCCUAGCUAUUCAGGUGGCUGAGGUAGGAGAAUCACUUAAACCUGGGAGGCGGAGGUUGCAGUGAGCCAAGAUUGUGCCCUUACACUACAGCCUGGGUGACAAGAGUGAAAGUCUGUCUCAAAAUAAAUAAAUAAAUAAAUAAAUAAAUAAAUAAAGACAUUUCUGAACUUAGGAACAAAGCAUUUAGUAUUUUACCAUUGAGUAUGUUGCUAGCUGUAGGUUUUUCGUAGAUACCCCUCAUCGGAUUGAAAAUGUUUCCAUGAAUUCCUCGUUUGCUGGGAAUUUUCUUUUCUUUGAGGUUCAGAUGUUGAUUUUGUGAAAUAUAUUUUAUGCAUCUAUUGAUAUAAUCAUGGAAUUUUUCUUUUUCUGUCUGUUAAUAUGGUUAAUUUCAUUUAUUGGUUUUUGAAUGUUGAACCAACCUUGCAUUCCUGGGAGUAAAUGCUAUAGAUAAUGUUGUAUAUAUUUACAUAUUAUUUUCAAUGUGAUAAGAUUUUGUUAAUAUUUGCAUCUGUGUUUAUGAGGAUGUUAAUCUGUAUCAUCUUUACCUGUUUUUUUUUUGUUGUUUGUUUGUUUUUGAGAUGGAGUCUUGGUCUGUUGCCCAGGCUAGAGUGCAGUGGCGUGAUCUUGGCUCACUGCAACCUCUGCCUCCUGGGUUCAAGUGAUUUCCCUGCCUGAGCCUCCCGAGUAGCUGGCAGUACAGGUGCUUGCCACCAUGCCCAGCUAAAUUUUGUAUUUUUAGUAGAGAUGGGGUUUCAUCGUGUUGGUCAGGCUGGACUCGAACUCCUGAACUCAAGUGAUCCGCCUGCCUCAGCCUCCCAAAGUGCUGGGAUUACAGGUGUGAGCCACUGUGCCUGGCCCAUUAAGGUGCAUAUGUAUUUAGGAUUGUGAUAUUUUCCUGUUGGACUGAUUUUUUUUUUUUUUUUGAGACAGAGUCUCGCUCUGUCUGCCCAGCCUGGAGUGCAGUGGCGUGAUCUCAGCUCUCAUCUCACUGCAAGCUCCGCCUCCUGGAUUGAUGCCAUUCUCCUGCCUCAGCCUCCCGAGUAGCUGGGACUACAGGUGCCCACCACCACACCCGGCUAAUUUUUUUGUAUUUUUAGUAGAGACGGGGUUUCACCAUGUUAGCCAGGAUGGUCUUGAUCUCCUGACCUCGUAAUCCGCCCGUCUCAGCCUCCCAAAGUGCUGGGAUUCCAGGUGUGAGCCACUGCGCCCGGCUGGACUGAUCUUUUAUCGUUAUGUAAUGUCCCUUUUUGUCUUUUUUUUUUUUUUUUUUUUUUUUUGAGACAGAGUCUCACUCUGUUGCCCAGGCUGGAGUGCAGUGGCGCAAUCUCGGUUCACUGCAAGCUCCACCUCCCGGCUUCACACCAUUCUCCUGCCUCAGCCUCCAGAGUAGCUGGGACUACAGGCACCCACCACCAUGCCCAGCUCAUUUUUUUGUAUUUUUUUAGUAGAGACGGGGUUUCACCAUGUUAGCCAGGAUGGUCUCGAUCUCCUGACCUCAUGAUCCACCCGCCUUGGCCUCCCGAAGUGCUGGGUUUACAGGUGUGAGCUACCACGCCUGGCCCCUUUUUGUCUUUUUUUUAACCGUUGUUGCUUUAAAGUCUGUUUGUGUGAUAUAGGAAUAGCUACUCGGCAAGGCAUGAUGGCUCAUGCCUGUAAUCCCAGCACUUUGGGAGGCUGAGACAGGUGGAUCACGAGGUCAGGAGAUUGAGAUCAUCUUUGCCACCAUUGUGAAACCCCAUCUCUACUAAAAAUACAAAAAUUAGCUUGGUGUGGUGGCAUGCCCCUGUAGUCCCAGCUACUCGGGAGGCUGAGGCAGGAGAAUUGCUUGAACUCAGGAGGCAGAGGUUGCAGUGAGCCAAGUUAGCGCCACUGCAUUCCAGCCUGGUGACAGAGCAAGACUUAGUCUCAGAAAAAAAAACAAAAACAAAAAAACAUAGCUACUCUUGGCCAGCUCACAUCUAUUAUCCUAGCACUUUGGGAGGCCAAGGCAGGCAGAUCAUGAGGUCAGGAGAUUGAGACCAUCCUGGCUAACAUGGUGAAACCCUGUCUCUACUAAAAAUACAAAAAAUUUAGCUGGGCAUGGUGGCGCAUGCCUGUAGUCCCAACUACUUGGGAGGCUGAGGCAGGAGAAUUGUUUGAACCCAGGAGGCAGAGGUUGCAGUGAGCCGAGAUCGUGCCACUGCACUCCAGCCUGGGCAACAGAGCGAGACUCCAUCUCAAAGAAAAAAAAAAAAGAAUAGCUACUCGUACUUGCUUUUGGUUUCCAUUUGCGUGCAGUAUCUUUUUCUACCCCUUUACCUUAAGUUUAUGUGAGUCCCUAUGCAUUAGAUGAGUCUCUUGAAGACAGCAGAUGGUUGGUUGGUGAAUUUUAUCCAUUCUGUGUCUUUUAAGUGGAGCAUUCAGGCCAUUUACAUUCAAUGUUGGUAUUGAAUUAUGAGAUAGUGUUUUAUUCAUAGUGAUAGUUGUGCUUUUUUAAAUUGUGUUAUUGUUUUAUAAGCCUUUUAAAACAUAUACUUAAAGGAGGUUCUAUUUUUGUUUCAAGAUUUAGAACUCCUUUUGACAUUUCUUGUAGUGCUGGCUUGCUAGUGGCAAAUUCUCUCAGCAUUUGUUUGUCUGAAAAAGACUUUAUCUCUCCUCAUUUAUGAAGCAUAGUUUUGCUGGAUACAAAAUUCUUGGCUGGCAAUUAUUUUGUUUGAGGAGGCUAAAGAUAGGACCCCAAUCCCUUCUGGCUUAUAGGGUUUCUGCUGAGAAAUCUGCUGUUAAUCUGAUAGGAUUUCCAUUGUAGGUUCCCUGAUGCUUUUGCCUCAUGGCUCUUAAGAUGUUUCCCUUCAUCUUGACUUUAGAUAACCUGAUGACUGUGUGCCUAGGUAAUUAUCUUUUUGCAAUGAAUUUUUCAGGUGUUCUUUCAGCUUCUUGUAUUUAGAUGUUUAGAUCUCUGGUGAGAGCAAGGAACUUUUCCUUGAUUAUUCCCUCCAAUAAGCUUUCUAAAUGUUUAGAUUUCUCUUCUUCCUGAGGAACACCAAUUAUUCUUAGGUCUGGCUGUUUAACGUAAUCCCAAAUUUCUUGGAAGCUUUGUUCAUUUUUAAAAAUUCAUAUUCGCCGGGCGCAGUGGCUCACGCCUGUAAUCCCAGCACUUUGGGAGGCCGAGGCAGGCAGAUCACAAGGUCAGGAGAUCGAGACCAUCCUGGCUAACACGGUGAAACCCCAUCUCUACUAAAAAUACAAAAAAUAAGCCAGGUGUGGUGGCGGUCGCCUGUAGUCCCAGCUACUCAGGAGGCUGAGGUAGGAGAAUGCUAUGAACCCAGGAGACAGAGCUUGCAGUGAGCCGAGAUCACGCCACUGCACUCCAUCCAGCCUGGGCAACAGAGCGAGACUGUCUCAAAAAAAAAAAAUUCUUUUUUAUUUGUCUUUGUCUGGUUGAGUUACUUCAAAUGCUUUGUCUUCAAGCUCUGAAGUUCUUUCUUCUACUUGUUGGAGAUAAAUGUUCAGUGCCACAAAGCGAAACCAGCACUCAGGCAAAAAUUUUCUCAGCAAGGCAAUUUACUUCUGCAGAAGGGUGCUGCUUGUGUCAAUCACGAUUGCAAGAGCACACUGAACAAAGGAAAGCAGGGGUUUUUAUUCCUAAUGCAGUCCCUGCCUCUUUGUCAUUCCUCCAUGGGCUGUGGUUGGACCGCACAAUCUAAACUGACCCAAUUGGCUAUUUGUGAAUACUUUCCCAAAUAAGGAAGGGAAGGGAAAUGUGAGUUACAAUGGUGGGAUGUGCGGUUUCAAAGGGAGGAACGGGUGAAGAGUGGGUAACCAAGGGAACAGAUGUGAGUUAUUGAUUAGGACUGACAGGAAAGUUGUUUACAGUUACAGUAACUAGGGGCAAGGAGGCAUAGAGAACAAGAAAGUUGAGUUUGAGAACAAAGAACAAGGAAGUUAACAGGCUAAACCUUUGAAGAAUUUUAUUGUAUCCUACAAUUUCCCCCUUUUAAUUUUUAUAGUUCUUCCUCUUCAAACCUUUUUAAGAUGUCUUGGCUUUGCUGUUUGACUUGAUCGUCUGAAAGGAAACGCUUAUCUGAAUAAGGUGGAGGAGAGCUAAGGGAGAUUUUAGUAAGUGCUGUUUCUAUAAGCCUUUGUACUAGCCCAUGGUUGCAUGGUGUGACACAACACCCAACAAGAAUGAGUACACCUAUUAUGACUGCAAGAGAAGUAAGAAUUGAGGCUAUGAUUCCUUUCUAUUUACCAAACCACCUGUCUAGCCAUCCUGAAGAAGGGUUAUUGACUCCAGAAUUUUUAGCUAAUUCAUUAGAUAAAAUGGUAAGUCCUUGUAAGGCUUUUGUUAUGCUCCCAUCUGGGGCAGUAUGGUUUGGGAUGAAGGUACGACACUGAGUUUUAAUCAUAACACAAACUCUACCUUUUUCAGCUAGUAUCAUGCCUAGGGCCAUUCUGUUUUCCUAAGCCAUCUGGCUAGUCAGCCCUAACUCCUCAGCUAUUCCUUUGACAGCAUCCCUGGUAUAAUUAAUAAACUGCUGUUGGUUAUAAUAGAUGUAAUUUAUACAGUCUACAUUUUUAUUAAUAGUUACCCAUGGAAAUAUUGAUUCAAAUCCUGCAGACUAUUUGGUCCCGGGCUUUUAAUUUAUCAGGUACUCCCCAUGGGACUCCAGUUGCAUCUAAAUAAACUUGAGAGUCAAAAAACCUAUAAGGGGCUUCUCUUAUUUUAUGGUGUUGUGGCUUUUCUUUUUCUGGCUGAUGAAACGCCAGGGUGAAAGGGAUAGCCAAAUGGACAAGAGUGCAGGUACCACUCCAGUUACUUGGCAGAGUGUCCAGUAAGGGUCCGCCACAAUACCACCAUACAUCUUCUUGAGGAUGACUAAGGGCAGACUGAUGGGUAAGCUCUUGGAAAGGCUUAAGCUCACUGCAUCCUGUUAAGCUUCCAAGGAACACCAAGUUUUCCCCUUGUCGUGAGAGACAGGACGUGAAAUUGACAUUGGGAGCCAGAAGCUGGAUGGCCCUCUGGGGCUGACCCGCAGGAUAUUGAACUUUGGGAUAGAGCAAAGAGAGAGCUUGGCAUGAUUGAUUGCCCCAAGCUAUGGAAUCCUGGAAGAGAGCUACCAUGCUGCCCAUGCCUGGUUGACUGGGGGACCAGCCGAGUGUAAAGGGGUCUAUCUGGGUCUCUGGCUGGCCGUGAGCACAAGCAUAACAAUUGCUUUUGUUUCAUGUGCGGACAGAAUAUUUGGUCCAUUCCAACCAGGCAUUUGCAUCUUGAUAUUUUGUUUCAAUUGCUAAAGUUUGCCUUAGAUCAUUUACUUCUACAAUAUCUACUUUAGUCUUAUCAUUGGGUAUAGAAGGUAUGGCAGUCUGAUUAGAAGAAGGCUUAGAAGGAGAAGAGAGGGAAGAGGGUGAAGAGGAUGAGGGAUUAAUAAAACGCAUUUCAAAAGACCCUAUGAGGUCUGUGCCGCGUUGGUCCCUAUGCCAUAGAAGCGACUCAAAGUAGGUCUAGAGGGUCGGUAGAGGCCGGAGUGAGAGUAGAAAUCUGCACUGGAUUACACUGGUUAUACUGAAAAUCGAGGGGAGGGGUGCUUCCUUUAGUAAAGUGAAUGUAUGAUUUUAAGUAUAUACAGCCACAUGUUGAUGAGGUCCAGCCUUGAUACUCAGUUGUCCACAGAACAUCAUUCCAGCUAUGGCAGACCUGUUUCCCUAUAUUUUAUGAGGAGCAAGAGUCUUGGUAGCGGGAGCCUUUUAUUUUAAAGUGGCAGAGAUACUUUUCUAAGGCUGAGAGUUGCCUUUGACUUUGGAGAUCUCUACAGGGUAUGACUAAACAGGCAUCAAACAUAAUAACUUGGGGUGAGUUUGAUUUAGUCACAUUGAUAACAAGGUGGUCAGCAACAGAAUGAGGAAAGAAGAAAGAGUAAUAGAGUAGACGAAAGAGAGUUAAACUUUUCUUAGCUUUAGUUUGAGGGGGUUUUCCCCUGGGAUAAUGGCCCAUGACUCUGGAGGUGACAGUGCUUUCUUGACUCAGGUGUGAUGGGUCUAUCCUUUUUCUGCUGUCCGGACUGCAGUUUCAGUGGUUAGAAGCACCAGGUAAGGUCCUUCCCAGGCUGGCUCAAGUUUCUCCUCUUUUCAGCUCUUGAUAAGGACGUGAUCCCCAGGCUGAUGUUGAUGUACUGGGAACUCCAGAGGCAGAGCCUGUGCUAGGAGACCUUUGGUUUUAAGAAAAGAGAAAGUAGGGGAGAGACUAAGAAUAUAAUUCCUGAGGAACUGGUGUUUUUGGAACAUCAGCAGUGGAGUGUAAAUAAGGCAAUCCAUAGAGCAUCUUGUAAGGGGAAAGGCCAGUAUCUUUUCGAGGAGCAGUUUGGAUUCUUUUUUUUUUAUUUGGUUUUGUCAAAUGUUUUAUUGAGUGUAGACAUCUGGAGUACUAUAAAACAUGCAUUAUCUGUAGAUUCAAAAAGGAGCAAGCCACAUUGUUCUCACUGUCAAAUGUGUUAGGCUUGGCAUACAUGAUGGAGAUUAAUGAAGUAUCAUGAGAGUAACAUGGUUCUUGAAAAGCUUCUAUAAUUUGGAGUAGGGUCUUAAUCACAUGAAAAGCAAAGGUGUUCACAUUUAGUGAACUUGCAUUUCAUUGGGGGGAGAGGGUACACAGUAUUUUAAUUUUAAAACAAAAAUAAUUUGUUUGUCAAAGAUUCCCAUCUCCCCAACUUUAUUUGUCCCAUUGGUUUUCAGAAAUUUUAAUUUUUAAAAAAUCAGAUGCCUUUUGGAAGUUGUAUGUUUAUCUGAGCAGUAACUAAAUUUUAUUUCUUCUUCAGUUGUUAAGGUGUGUUAAAUUUGAAGAAGAUAAUAUCUCCAUCUUCAACAAUAUAAUUUCUGCCUUGUUGUCUGUACUUUCCAGCAGCCUUGACUGCAUUUUCAGAACCUUCCUCUUUAAAAUCUUCAUAUUUCAUUACUUCAGCCAUAAUGAAUCCCUUUUCAAAAUCUGUGUGAAUCUUUCCUGCAGCCUGAGGAGCCUUAGUCCCUUUCCUGAUGGUCCGUGCACGCACUUCAUCUGGGCCUGCAGUGAAAAAGUAUUUUAGUUGGAGUGCUGCAAACCCAGCCUUAAUGAUCUUUGGCAAAGCACUUUGUGUCAUGUUCGCUUCCAGAUACUGCUGUCUCUCCUCAGCACUCAAUUCUUGCAACUUGAGUUCCAAGGCCCCACUAAAAGGAAUGACCAAGGCACCUGGGUCAUACUUGUCCACCCACUCUUUAAUUUUUUUCAAUCUCUUUGUCAUUCCAAUCAUGAUAGAAGCGAACAGGUUCUUUUGAUCUAUAACCCAGGAUUUUACUUUGCACAUUAUAUCAUAUUUGGGUUUUAGUUUUUUAUCUCCUCCUCUCACAGCCACCUUUUCUAGUUUAUCUAUAAUGGGCCCAGUCAUUCCUCAUCUUUAAGCUGAAGCUCUUCAUGUAUUAUUUCUAUAUCUCGAAUAGGAUCUACACUUUCUUCAACAUGUGUGAUAUCAUCAUCUUCAAAAGCACGUGUUAGAUGAAAGAUGCCAUCACAAGCACUAAAAUGAGAUAAAAAAGCAUUCCCCAGGCCCUGCCCAUUGUGAGCUCCUUUCACAAGGCCAGCAAUAUCCACUACAUUUAGAAAGGCAGGAAUUUUGCUUGCUGGUUUGUGAUAUUGGCAAAGAAAGUCAAACCUUUCAUCUGGCACAGGUACUCUGCUCUCAUUAGGAUCAAUAGUGCAGAAUGGGAAGUUUUCUGCUGAAGCCUGACUAUUGGUUAAUACAUUGAAGAAAGUAGAUUUCCCAACAUUUGGCAAUCCAACAAUACCAAUUUUCAGUGAGGUUCCAAAUCUUCCAAUGAUUGGGGGUGGUUUAAUUCCAUCACCUCCCUUUUGAGGGGGCAUCGUGCUCAGCCUGGGCUAUGACACGGGGUCCCAGUAGCAGCGAGAGAAAGGUCCUGCCGGCAGCCAGAGGCGGGGAGGAAGGAGGAGAGAACGCAGGCCCGGCCCCUCCGCCGAGCGGCAUGCCGCACUACGGCGGCGACAGCGGUGGAACCGCCGUUUGGAUUCUUAACAGGGCAAUAGGAAGAUAUUUGAUCCCUGGCAACCGAAUCUAUAGAACUAACUUGGUUAAAUGGUUCUUUAAGGUCUGAUUCAUCCUUUCUACUCUCCCUGAUGAAGGUGGGUGCCAAGGAGUAUGAUAUUUCCAUCUAAUGUCUAGCGCUUAGGAUAGCUUUUUAAUGAUAUGUGCUAUGAAAUAGGUUUCACUGUCUGAGUCAAUAUUUUCUAUUAGCCCAAACCUGGGCACUAUAUUUUCAAUUAAUGCUUUAACUACAUGAUUGGCCAUUGCAUUUGAAAAGGGAAUAGCUUCGACCCAGUGAGUGAGGUGAUCUGCUAUUACUAAGUACUUUAGGCAACCGAUUGGGGGCAUUUCAAUGUAAUCAGUUUGAACACUUUGGAAUGGUCUUAGCCCUGAAUCCCUCCCCGCCCAGGGAUGAUUUCUUUAUAACUUGUUUGUUGGUUUCCUUACAUGUUAAGCAACUAUCCAUAACCUGUUUGGCUAGGGUAUAUACCCAUAAACCCUGAGAACUGUGUCACACAUGGCUUGGGGUCCCCAGUGUGUCCCUUGAUGCAGGUGGGUAGGAUUUCUCUCAUGAGCGGUUUGAAUAGCAUUUCUCUUUGAUCUGGUAACACCCAUUUUCCUUCUGAGUUUUCUUUGGCUCCAUUUUUAUUAAUUUUUCCUUUUCUGCAGCAGACAAGGUAGGGGUUGCAGCAGGGGGAGGAAGACGAGGGGUUAAGUGAAAGGUGUUUCAGAUGAAAUGGCAGCCUGUUUAGCCACUUGAUCUGCAAGGUUAUUUCCCUGACUUGUAAAGGAAAAGUCGUUUUGGUGUCCGGGGACAUGUACAAUGGCUAUUUCUUCUGGCAACUGGAGAUUGUUUAAAACAUGGACGAUUAGCUCCUCGUGGGUAAGAUAUUUUGGCCUUUAGUUUUUUUUUGUUUUUUGGUGUUUUUUUGAGACGGAGUCUUGCUCUGUCACCCAGGCUGGAGUGCAGUGGCACGAUCUCAGCUCAUUGCAAGUUCCACCUCCCGGGUUCACGCCAUUCUCCUGCCUCAGCCUCCUGAGUAGCUGGGACUACAGGAUCCCGCUACCACACCUGGCUAAUUUUUUUGUAUUUUUAGUAGAGACGGGGUUUCACCAUGUUAGCCAGGAUGGUCUUGAUCUCCUGACCUCGUGAUCCGCCCACCUCAGCCUCCCAAAGUGCUGGGAUUACAGGCAUGAGCCACCGCGCCUGGCCUGGCCUUUAGUAUUAAUAAGACCUUGCUCAGCCCAAAUUUUUCCAAAUAUAUGAGCUACUCCAAAAAUGUAUUUAGAAUCAGUAUGAAUAGUUCCUUCCUUGCUCUGUAAGUGUUUUAAAACCUGGCUGAGUGCAAAUAGUUCACAUGCUUUGGCAGACCAACUAUUGGGCAACCUUCCUGACUCUGUUUCUUCAAGAGUUUCUCCAUCAAUUACUGAAUACCCAUUGUAUUUUUCUCCUUUAAUUGCUUGGGAUCAACCAUCUAUAAAUAAGUGUCACCCCAUUUUGAAAGGGGUCUCUCUUAGAUCCGGCCUGACCUUUGUUUGGUAGUCAGUUAGAUCUAGACAUAAGUGUUCUCUUUUUAGAUUUGGGUCCCCUGUUAAGAAACCUCUCGGAUUGAGUGAGUUAUCAGUAGUCAAGGUUAAAUCAUCUUUUUAGUAAAAUAGCCUCCUAUUUUAAGAUUCUGGAGUCAGUGAGCCACCUUCCUGCUUUUUUAUUUAAAAUAGCUCUAACUUGGUGGGGUGUGCUUACAGUCAAUUUCCCCCCAAAGAUUAAUUUUCUACUUUCUUCAACUAAUACUGCUGUAGCUGCAACGAAUUGGAUGCACUGAGGCUACCCACAGGUGACUGGGUCUAAAAUUUUUGAUAGGAAGGCUACGGGCUGCCGGUGACCACCAUGUUCUUGAGUAAGAACCCCUAAAGCUACCCCGUUAUUUACAUUAACAAAAAGAUGAAAUGGCUUUUCUAGGGAAGCUAAGGCUAAGACAGGGGCAGUUAUGAGUUUGUAUUUCAGCUCUUCAACCUGAUUGACUUCCUCAGAAGUCCACAGGAGACGGUCCAGUUUCCACUGGGUAAGCUUUUCAUAUAAAAGUUUACUUUUUAGGGCAUAUGAGUCAAUCCAUAAGCAUCAAUAUCCAACUAAUCCUAGAAAUUUUCUGAGUUAUUGCUUAGUUUGAGGCAAGGGUAAGGACACGAUGCCUUCAACUCGUUCAGGUCCUAUCCUUUGCUUACCUGCACUUAUUAAGUGGCCUAAAUAUUUAACUUCAGGCUCCACAUACUGAAGCUUUCCCUUUAAGAACCAUAACCCCUCGAACUCCAGAUGGUUAAGGAUAUGUGUAGAGAAGCCAGCUACUUUCUCUACAUCUUCAACAGAUACGAGAAUAUCAUCCAUGUACUGGAGCAGGCAUAUUUGCUUUGGGAUGACAACUUUUUCUAACACUUGUUCUAAAAUUUGACCAAAAAGGUUUGGAGAGUCUGUAAACCCUUGAGGUAAAACUGUCCAUCAAUAAUGUUGUUUUCGCCCUGAAUGGGGAUCCUACCACUCAAAAGCAAAUAUGUCUCAGCUGUCUUCAGCCAAGGGGCAUGCCCAGAAGGCAUCUUUUAAAUCUAUUACUGUAAACAACUGAUGGUUUUUUGGAAUUUUGCUGAGAAUGGUGUAUGGGUUGGGGACAACAGGAUGGUUAGUUUGGACUAUUUGAUGGCUCUAAGAUCUUGUACCAAGUCGGUAUGACGCAUCUAAUUUCUUGACUGGCAAUAUUGGAGUGUUAUACGGGGACAUACAGGGUUCAAGGAGCCCAUCUUUAAUAAGACUUUCAAUUAUAGGCUUUAAUCCUAUCCUGCCCUCUAGGGGUUUGGGGUAUUGUUUCCUCCUUACUACUUCCCUGGGGAUUCUUAACUUGAUGUGGAUUGGAGGGAUUCAGAGUUUCUCCCGGUUUCCUUCCCUUGACCAGACACUAGGAUUAAUGCAUUUUUCAUCUGUGGUGGUGAGUAGGUUUAAUGAGGUAAAGAAUCCUUUAGGACCAACUUGUAAGCCUGUGCCUAAUUCUAGCAUUAAGUCUCUUCCUAAUAGAUUAGUUUCUGCCUCAGGGAUCAACAAAAAUUGGAUAUGAGUCAGCCGAUCUUGGUAUUUAACUUCUGUACUUUCUAAGAUUUUUGCUUUAAAUCCUUCUCCUUUUACCCCAGAGACUAAAAGUUCUUCUGAAGAGCAGGCAAUGUUGGAUGGGGGGAAGCAAAUGGAGGAGCGAGCCACUCCUGAAUUGACUAAAAGGUGAUAAGCUCAUGUUUGGUUCCCACCUGUAAAUUUAUCAAGGGCUCCUGGUGGGACUCGAGAUAAACAGAGCCCCUGACCCCCCUGUUCUUCCUCAAAAGUCAUGAGUUGAAGGGCUUCUUUCUCCUUUUCCAGUUUGGGACAUUCUCUUUUGAAGUGGCCUGCCCUUCAAACGGUCUGGACGGACCGUUUAUAGUUUCUGGCCCCCUGGAAGCUUUGUUUAGAAGCAUAAACGAGGGUCUGGACCUUUUAUAGUUUCUGGCCCCCUGGAAGCUUUGUUUAGAAGCAUAAACGAGGGUCUGGACCUUUUAUAGUUUCUGGCCCCCUGGAAGCUUUGUUUAGAAGCAUAAACGAGGGUCUGGACCUUUUAUAGUUUCUGGCCCCCUGGAAGCUUUGUUUAGAAGCAUAAAUGAGGGUCUGGACCUUUUAUAGUUUCUGGCCCCCUGGAAGCUUUGUUUAGAAGCAUAAACGAGGGUCUGGACCUUUUAUAGUUUCUGGCCCCCUGGAAGCUUUGUUUAGAAGCAUAAAUGAGGGUCUGGACCGUCUAUCGUUUCUGGCCCCCUGGAAGCUUUGUUUAGAAGCAUGUGGGUGUGGGGCCACCUGCUGGAAAGUGGAUAACGUGAGUUUUUGCCUUUUGUUUUUGCUUCUUUCCUCACAUAUAUUUUUUGAGCUUCUCCCAGAAGUUCACUUAGAGGUUGGUUUUCCCAGUCUUCUAAUUUUUGUAACUUUUUUGAAAUAUCUGGCCAACUUGUAGUGACAAAAUGGAGCUUUAACACUCCCUGUCCAAGGAGAUCUUCCAAAUUUAGGCCUGCAUAUUGUCUUGUUUGGUCCUUUAUUCUUGUCUAGAAAUUUCAUAGGCCCCCUCAUCUUUUUCCUAUUGUAUAUCAAAUGCUUUAGAGAGGUUUUGGGUUCAGGGUACUGAUUCCCUAAUUCCCUUUAUUAUCAUUUCCCUUAGGUCUUGCAUAUUUUCCCAGUGAGCUGCAUUAAUAUCGUCCCACCGGGGGUCUUGGGUGGGAAACUUUUGAUCUGCGGUAGGAAUGUUUGACCAGGAGGGUGUUCGUGUUCCCAAAUUGCCAUAGCAGCCCUACAGAUCAUGCUUCUUUCCUCCCCUGAAAAGAGGACGCAGGCCGGGCGCGGUGGCUCACGCCUGUAAUCCCAGCACUUUGGGAGGCCGAGGCGGGUGGAUCAUGAGGUCAGGAGAUCGAGACCAUCCUGGCUAACAAGGUGAAACCCCGUCUCUACUAAAAAUACAAAAAAAAUUAGCCGGGCGCAGUGGCGGGCGCCUGUAGUCCCAGCUACUCGGGAG
rnacentral:lncRNA from 1 species